CCCUUAGAUGCUCUGGGCCGCACGCGCGCUACACUGGUCGAUGCAACGAGUUUCUUUCCUUGGCCGACAGGCCUGGGCAAUCUUUGAACAUCGAUCGUGAUCGGGAUAGAUUCUUGUAAUUUUUGAUCUUAAACGAGGAAUUCCUAGUAAACGCAAGUCAUCAGCUUGCAUUGAUUACGUCCCUGCCCUUUGUACACACCGCCCGCCGCACCUACCGAUUGAAUGGUCCGGUGAAAUCUCCGGACUGGCGUGAGUCGGAGCAAUCUGACAAACGCCGGAAAGUUGAUUAAACCUUACCAUUUAGAGGAAGGUGAAGUCGUAACA
rnacentral:rRNA from 1 species